ACAACGUGUCCUGGAGAGACAGCACAAUGGGCUCUAUCUUCAUCACACAACUCAUCACAUGCUUCCAGAAAUAUUCUUGGUGCUGCCACCUAGAGGAAGUAUUUCGGAAGGAAGCCACAAGCAGCCCAGCCCUCCUUAAUCAACUUCAAGGAGCACCUUCAUUAGUACAGCUUGCAUAUUUAACAUUUUGUAUUUCAAUAAAAGUGAAGACAAAC
rnacentral:lncRNA from 1 species